rnacentral:misc_RNA from 1 species
GAUGAAGAACGUAGCGAAAUGCGAUAAGUAGUGUGAAUUGCAGAAUUCAGUGAAUCAUCGAAUCUUUGAACGCACAUUGCGCCUUCUAGUAUUCUGGGAGGCAUGCCUGUUUGAGCGUCAUUAAACCUCUCUCAAGUAUGAUUACUUGGAUGUGAAGGAAGAGUACCUUAAACUUAAGGAGUGUUCUCCUUUGAAAUUGAUUAGCAGAUGGUAAUGUUAUUAAAUCCCUGAUGUUGUAAGAAAUAACAGUGGUUUUGUAGACUAUUAUCUAGCUUUAAAUUAUAAUUUUUAUUAUGGUUGACCUCAAAUCAGGUAAGGAUACCCGCUGAACUUAAGCAUAUCAAUAAGCGGAGA